UUGAACGCUGGCGGCAGGCCUAACACAUGCAAGUCGAGCGGUUGAGAGUAGCUUGCUACUUGAUGCAGCGGCGGACGGGUGAGUAACGCGUGGGAAUCUGCUCAGUAGUGGGGGACAACAGCCGGAAACGGCUGCUAAUACCGCAUACGACCUACGGGGGAAAGGGGGGGAUCUUCGGACCUCUCGAUAUUGGCUGAGCCCGCGUCGGAUUAGCUAGUUGGUAGGGUAAAGGCCUACCAAGGCUACGAUCCGUAACUGGUCUGAGAGGAUGAUCAGUCACACUGGAACUGAGACACGGUCCAGACUCCUACGGGAGGCAGCAGUGGGGAAUAUUGGACAAUGGGGGAAACCCUGAUCCAGCCAUGCCGCGUGUGUGAAGAAGGCCUUAGGGUUGUAAAGCACUUUCAGUGGGGAGAAAGGUUUGUCACCUAAUACGUGAUGAAAUUGAUGUUACCCACAGAAGAAGCACCGGCUAACUCCGUGCCAGCAGCCGCAGUAAUAC
rnacentral:rRNA from 1 species